CAUGUCCUUUAGAUAAAUAAUUUAAGGUCUAACCUGCCCAGUGAUUUUUAAAUGGCCGCGGUAUUUUGACCGUGCAAAGGUAGCAUAAUAAUUAGUUUCUUGAUUAGAAACUGGAAUGAAUGGUUGGACGAGAAAAUUUCUGUCUCUUUUUUAUUUUUUAUAUAAUUUAAUUUUUAAGUCAAAAAGCUUAAAUGGUUUAAUAAGACGAGAAGACCCUAUAGAGUUUAAUAUUAUAUUGAAAUUUAAGAUUUUAGAAUUUAUUAUUAAUUUUUAUAAUAAUAUUUUGUUGGGGUGAUAGAAGGAUAAAAAUAACUCUUUUUUAUAUUUUAUACUGAUAAGUAUAUUUACGAUCCAAUAUUUUUGAUUGAAAGAUUAAAUUACCUUAGGGAUAACAGCGUUAUUUUUUUAGAGAGCUCUAAUCGAUAAAAGAAAUUGCGACCUCGAUGUUGGAUUAAAGUUAAUUUUGGGUGCAAAAGCUUGAAUAUUAGGUCUGUUCGACCUUUAAAACUUUACAUGAUCUGAGU
rnacentral:rRNA from 1 species